ensembl:lncRNA
GUUCUCUCAAGAUGAAUUGGUUCAAAUUUGCAUUUAAAAUAGCAGAUGGGGAAAAUAAAAUGACUAAGCUUCACUAUUGUGAGUCAUCAUUUUGUGAAACAACACAAUUUAUAUAAUACAGGUAAAGGAAGAAAAACUCCAUUUCCCCUAUGAAAAUUAGGUGGAAGAGAAAAGGCCUUCAAAUGUACUGAAGAAGAAACUGACUUUUUAAAAAAAUGUUAAGAAGUGUGAUUUCCUCCAGCUUCUUUCCUCUUUCUUAGGAAAAGGAUGAGCCUUCUGAAUUUCCUGGAGCCUGGACAAGCCAUCUAAUCUGACCACUACACCACAAUGCUGAGUAAUCUGAAGGCUUGAACUUCCAGAGUCAGAUCAGAGAAGAAGAGGAUAACCUUUCUCUUGAAACAUGAAAAUGCCCUGCCCCAUACCUGUUUGAAGACUGUGGAGCACUCUGCCAACCUUGGCUGUACUGUUGUACACCCACUAUAUAUUCUGGAUUUGGCACUUCUGACUUCCAUCUGGUCAGGAGGAUGAAAGAUGGACUGCAUGACAUCAUCACAGCAAUUGUGAAAGAGUAGGUCACCUCCGUUGGUGACGAUUUUAAUGAGUGCAGCUUUUUCAUUGCUGGCAAAAAUGCAUAGCUGACAGUGGUAACUAUGUUGAAAAAUAGUGUUUUGUAGCUAAAAAUUUCAUGUACCAAAGAGUGUUAUUGUGCUCUUGGUAUGUUGGUAGUUUCCAUGGAAAUAAAUAGGAGGCAUUACAAUUUUCCAGGUGUGGCCUCAACAGGGCAGAGUACAGGAGAAGAAUAUAACCUCCCUUAAUCUACCAGCCAAAAUCUUUUUAAUGCACACUAAGAUAUCAUUGGCCUUCUUGGCCACAAGGGCACACUGGUGACUUACAGGUAUUACACGUACCCAUGUUGAUAUAGAAUCAUAGAAUCAUAGAAUCACUCAGGCUGGAAAAGACCUUUAUGAUCAUCAAGUCCAACCAUGACCUAACCAUACUACCCUAACUCUAACAACCCUCUGCUAAAUCAUGUCCCUGAGCA